GAUGAAGAACGUAGCGAAAUGCGAUACGUAAUGUGAAUUGCAAAUUCAGUGAAUCAUCGAGUCUUUGAACGCACAUUGCGCCCCCUGGUAUUCCGGGGGGCAUGCCUGUCCGAGCGUCAUUGCUGCCCUCAAGCACGGCUUGUGUGUUGGGCCCCGUCCUCCGAUCCCGGGGGACGGUCCCGAAAGGCAGCGGCGGCACCGCGUCCGGUCCUCGAGCGUAUGGGGCUUUGUCACCCGCUCUGUAGGCCCGGCCGGCGCUUGCCGAUCAACCCAAAUUUUUAUCCAGGUUGACCUCGGAUCAGGUAGGGAUACCCGCUGAACUUAAGCAUAUCAAUAAGCGGAGGA
rnacentral:misc_RNA from 1 species